rnacentral:rRNA from 1 species
UACGGAGGGUGCGAGCGUUAUUCGGAAUAACUGGGCGUAAAGGGCACGCAGGCGGGCUGUUAAGUGAGAUGUGAAAUCCCCGGGCUUAACUUGGGAAUUGCAUCUGAAACUGGUUGGCUAGAGUCUGGUAGAGGGGGGUGGAAUUCCAUGUGUAGCGGUGAAAUGCGUAGAGAUGUGGAGGAAUACCGGUGGCGAAGGCGGCCCCCUGGACAAAGACUGACGCUGAGGUGCGAAAGCGUGGGGAGCAAACAGG